rnacentral:rRNA from 1 species
UACGGAGGGAGUGAGUGUUGUUCGGAUUUAUUGGGUGUAAAGGGAGUGUAGGCGGGUGUCUAAGUCAGGGGUGAAAUGUUGGGGCUUAACCCUAAACUUGCCUUUGAUACUGGAUGCCUUGAGUAUGGAAGAGGGCGAUAGAAUUCCUGGUGUAGCGGUGGAAUGCGUAGAUAUCAGGAGGAAUACCGAUAGCGAAGGCAGUCGCCUGGGACAAUACUGACGCUGAAACUCGAAAGCAUGGGGAGCAAAC